AUAGCUUCAAGUCCUUUUGGCUAAGAUCAAGUUUAGUAUCUGUUCUUAUCAGUUUAAUAUCUGAUAUGUCCUCUAUAUGAGGACUACAUAUUAAGAAUUUUUUUGCAAGAGGGCAGAAUUUGGAGCUUGCUCCUUUCUCCGCAUCGACCUAGCAUUGCAGUGCCGCUGGGAACGGUGCACUCUGU